AGAUCAUGAUGCGGGCAAUUCCUUAGUAGACUUUUGUACCUCUCCCAUGCCUCAUAAAGGGAUUCUCUGCUUUGUUGUUCAAAGUAGGCAAUAGCUUUCUGCAACU